rnacentral:rRNA from 1 species
UCCUGGGAUAACACUGACGUUCAUGCUCGAAAGCGUGGGUAGCAAACAGGAUUAGAUACCCUGGUAGUCCACGCCCUAAACGAUGUCAAUUAGCUGUUGGGCAACUUGAUUGUUCAGUAGCGUAGCUAACGCGUGAAAUUGACCGCCUGGGGAGUACGGUCGCAAGAUUAAAACUCAAAGGAAUUGACGGGGACCCGCACAAGCGGUGGAUGAUGUGGAUUAAUUCGAUGCAACGCGAAGAACCUUACCUGGUCUUGACAUGUACGGAAUCCUCCAGAGACGGAGGAGUGCCUUCGGGAACCGUAACACAGGUGCUGCAUGGCUGUCGUCAGCUCGUGUCGUGAGAUGUUGGGUUAAGUCCCGCAACGAGCGCAACCCUUGUCAUUAGUUGCCAUCAUUUAGUUGGGCACUCUAAUGAGACUGCCGGUGACAAGCCGGAGGAAGGUGGGGAUGACGUCAAGUCCUCAUGGCCCUUAUGACCAGGGCUUCACACGUCAUACAAUGGUCGGUACAGAGGGUAGCCAAGCCGCGAGGUGGAGCCAAUCUCACAAAACCGAUCGUAGUCCGGAUUGCACUCUGCAACUCGAGUGCAUGAAGUCGGAAUCGCUAGUAAUCGCAGGUCAGCAUACUGCGGUGAAUACGUUCCCGGGUCUUGUACACACCGCCCGUCACACCAUGGGAGUGGGGGAUACCAGAAGUAGGUAGGAUAACCGCAAGGGGUCCGCUUACCACGGUAUGCUUCAUGACUGGGGUGAAGUCGUAACAAGGUAGCCGUAGGGGAACC